rnacentral:rRNA from 1 species
AACGAACGCUGGCGGCAGGCUUAACACAUGCAAGUCGAACGCCCCGCAAGGGGAGUGGCAGACGGGUGAGUAACGCGUGGGAACGUGCCCUUCGCCUCGGAAUAGCCCCGGGAAACUGGGAGUAAUACCGAAUACGCCGUAUUGGGAAAGAUUUAUCGGCGAAGGAUCGGCCCGCGUUGGAUUAGCUAGUUGGCGGUGUAAUGGACCACCAAGGCUACGAUCCAUAGCUGGUCUGAGAGGAUGAUCAGCCACACUGGGACUGAGACACGGCCCAGACUCCUACGGGAGGCAGCAGUGGGGAAUCUUGGACAAUGGGCGCAAGCCUGAUCCAGCCAUGCCGCGUGAGUGAAGAAGGCCUUAGGGUUGUGAAACUCUUUCGCCGGAGAAGAUAAUGACGGUAUCCGGAGAAGAAGCCCCGGCUAACUUCGUGCCAGCAGCCGCAGUAA